rnacentral:rRNA from 1 species
GACGAACCGUGCGAACGUUGUUCGGAAUCACUGGGCUUAAAGGGCGCGUAGGCGGCUCGCGAGGUCGGGGGUGAAAUCCCGCAGCUUAACUGCGGAAGGGCCUCCGAUACCGGCGGGCUGGAGGAAGGUAGGGGUGCGCGGAACUUCUGGUGGAGCGGUGAAAUGCGUUGAUAUCAGGAGGAACGCCGGCGGCGAAAGCGGCGCACUGGACCUUUUCUGACGCUGAGGCGCGAAAGCUAGGGGAGCAAACGGG